UACGUAGGGGGCAAGCGUUGUCCGGAUUUAUUGGGCGUAAAGAGCGUGUAGGCGGCCAGGUAAGUCCGUUGUGAAAACUAGAGGCUCAACCUCUAGACGUCGAUGGAAACCAUCUGGCUAGAGUCCGGAAGAGGAGAGUGGAAUUCCUGGUGUAGCGGUGAAAUGCGCAGAUAUCAGGAAGAACACCCGUGGCGAAGGCGGCUCUCUGGGACGGUACUGACGCUGAGACGCGAAAGCGUGGGGAGCGAACAGG
rnacentral:rRNA from 1 species